UAGAAAUUUUCCAUGAAAAUUGGUUUUAUAUUUGGUCCAUAGAGCUAAAUUACAGACAUUAAUAGGGUUCCAAAAUAUAUAUGCUUUAAAUAUAGGGCUCCAGGAUACUCACAGAGAUCAGUGGUGGAAGUAACAAUGACUUUUAAAGAGUUAAGAAACUGAACUCCUUAGUUGCCCAAGAGAGACAGAUACAUACAAUCCUUCUCCCUCAGAAAAUCCCACAGACAGAAUUAGGCUCUACUUGCAACCCAUCAGCACCUCGAUACUUUCUUCCGCAGUGCUUUUUGCUGUUAUAUAAAGAGAAUUGGUUAGUGACAAAGGCAGCUGCCUCCUGCUGUAACUGACUAAAAAUAUUUGCUUUGUCAUGGACUAAUGCUUUCUCUUUUAAAAAAAAAAUGAUGCAAGAGUUUGUGUAAGGGUAUAUUUGAUAAUGCUUAGUUAAGGGCAUCCACGCCUCUCAUUGUGAUGUACUCCUGUGAUUUCAGAACCUUACAUCUAUGAACCUUAAACCUAAUUCCUCUUCUUGCCAUACCUAACAAGUUCUUGGAUGGGACACGAAUAACCUCUACAUGCCACGCCAGCAGUGAAGUCCUGAUACGUUUGUAUUCUGCCUAAACUUCCUGUGUAAUGUUCUGGGGACACUGCCUUACACAGAUAGUUCUCACACCCCCUGAAGGUGUUUUAUGGCUGAUAGAGGUCUGUCAGAGGGGAUGUUUUGGAAAAGUGUUAACUGAAGAGUUCCAGCAGAACAGGGCAGCAUUAACUUAGAAGGAAAAACAGCAAGGUAUAUUCACAGAAACAGGGGAUUUGUCUUGAGGAGAGUAAUGUUACAAUUCUACAAUUCUAAAUGUGUUCCUACAGGCAUUCACAAUAGUAGUACUCUGCUAAAAAUCAAUAAGGCUUAUGCCUGGACACUUCUCUGUUGAAAGC